rnacentral:rRNA from 1 species
CCUACGGGAGGCAGCAGUGAGGAAUAUUGGUCAAUGGACGAGAGUCUGAACCAGCCAAGUAGCGUGAAGGAUGACUGCCCUAUGGGUUGUAAACUUCUUUUAUAUGGGAAUAAAACAGGGUAUGCAUACCCUCUUGUAUGUACCAUAUGAAUAAGGAUCGGCUAACUCCGUGCCAGCAGCCGCGGUAUUACGGAGGAUCCGAGCGUUAUCCGGAUUUUUUGGGUUUAAAGGGAGCGUAGGUGGAUUGGUAAGUCUGUUGUGAAAGUUUACGGCUCAACCGUAAAAUUGCAGUUGAUCCUGGCAGUCUAGAGUACAGUAGAGGUAGGCGGAAUGCGUGGUGUAGCGGUGAAAUGCUUAGAUAUCACGAAGAACUCCGAUUGCGAAGGCAGCUCACUGGACUGCAACUGACACUGAGGCUCGAAAGUGUGGGUAUCAAACAGGAUUAGAUACCCUAGUAGUC